CCUACGGGAGGCAGCAGUGAGGAAUAUUGGUCAAUGGACGAGAGUCUGAACCAGCCAAGUAGCGUGAAGGAUGACUGCCCUAUGGGUUGUAAACUUCUUUUAUAUGGGAAUAAAAUGUUCCACGUGUGGGAUUUUGUAUGUACCAUAUGAAUAAGGAUCGGCUAACUCCGUGCCAGCAGCCGCGGUAAUACGGAGGAUCCGAGCGUUAUCCGGAUUUAUUGGGUUUAAAGGGAGCGUAGGUGGAUUGUUAAGUCAGUUGUGAAAGUUUGCGGCUCAACCGUAAAAUUGCAGUUGAAACUGCCAGUCUUGAGUACAGUAGAGGUGUGCGGAAUUCGUGGUGUAGCGGUGAAAUGCUUAGAUAUCACGAAGAACUCCGAUUGCGAAGGCAGUUCACUGGACUGCAACUGACACUGAGGCUCGAAAGUGUGGGUAUCAAACAGGAUUAGAUACCCGAGUAGUC
rnacentral:rRNA from 1 species